rnacentral:rRNA from 1 species
UGGGGAAUCUUGCGCAAUGGGCGCAAGCCUGAUCCAGCCAUGCCGCGUGAGUGACGAAGGCCCUAGGGUUGUAAAGCUCUUUCAGUGGUGACGAUGAUGACGGUAGCCACAGAAGAAGCUCCGGCUAACUCCGUGCCAGCAGCCGCGGUAAUACGGAGGGAGCUAGCGUUGUUCGGAAUUACUGGGCGUAAAGCGCGCGUAGGCGGCGUAUCAAGUCAGGGGUGAAAUCCCGGGGCUCAACCCCGGAACUGCCCUUGAAACUAGUACGCUAGAAUACUGGAGAGGUGAGUGGAAUUCCGAGUGUAGAGGUGAAAUUCGUAGAUAUUCGGAAGAACACCAGUGGCGAAGGCGACUCACUGGACAGUUAUUGACGCUGAGGUGCGAAAGCGUGGGGAGCAAACAGGAUUAGAUACCCCUGUAGUCC